rnacentral:snRNA from 1 species
GUGCUUGCUUUGGCAGCACAUAUACUAAAAUUGUGACAAUACAAAGAAGAUUAGCAUGGCCACUGUGCAAGGAUGACAUGAAGCAUUCCAUAUUUUU